GAUCAUCUGAACUCCUAGAGAAGGACGUUCCCCUUCGGGGGACAGAGUGACAGGUGGUGCAUGGUUGUCCUCCUCUCGUGUCGUGAGAUGUUGGGUUAAGUCCCGCAACGAGCGCAACCCUUGAUCUUAGUUGCCAGCAUUCAGUUGGGCACUCUAAGGUGACUGCCGGUGACAAACCGGAGGAAGGUGGGGAUGACGUCAAAUCAUCAUGCCCCUUAUGACCUGGGCUACACACGUGCUACAAUGGAUGGUACAAAGGGCUGCAAGACCGCGAGGUUUAGCCAAUCCCAUAAAACCAUUCUCAGUUCGGAUUGCAGGCUGCAACUCGCCUGCAUGAAGCCGGAAUCGCUAGUAAUCGCGGAUCAGCAUGCCGCGGUGAAUACGUUCCCGGGCCUUGUACACACCGAA
rnacentral:rRNA from 1 species